AGUGAACGCUGGCGGUAGGCCUAACACAUGCAAGUCGAACGGCAGCACAGUAAGAGCUUGCUCUUACGGGUGGCGAGUGGCGGACGGGUGAGGAAUACAUCGGAAUCUACUUUUUCGUGGGGGAUAACGUAGGGAAACUUACGCUAAUACCGCAUACGACCUACGGGUGAAAGCAGGGGAUCUUCGGACCUUGCGCGAUUGAAUGGGCCGAUGGCGGAUUAGCUAGUUGGCGGGGUAAAGGCCCACCAAGGCGACGAUCCGUAGCUGGUCUGAGAGGACGAUCAGCCACACUGGAACUUAGACACGGUCCAGACUCCUACGGGAGGCAGCAGUGGGGAAAUUUUGGCAAUGGGCGAAAGCCUGACUCAGCCACUGCGCGUGGGUGAAGAAGGUCUUCGGGUUGUAAAACCCUUUUAUUGGGGAAGAAAAAAUGCUGGUGAAAAACCACAGGUCUUGACGGUAACCAACAAAAAAGCCACGGCUAACUUCGUG
rnacentral:rRNA from 1 species